rnacentral:lncRNA from 1 species
GGCUGCACCUGCAGCAUAUGGAUGUUCCCAGGCUACAGGUCCAAUUGGAGCUGCACCUGCCAGCCUUCAAGCCACAGCAACGUGGGAUCCGAGCCACAUCUGCAACCUACACAACAGCUCAUGGCAACACCAGACCCUUAACCCACUGAGCGAAGCCAAGAAUCCAUCCUGCAUCCUCAUGGAUACUAGUCGGGUUCGUUACUGCUGAGCCACGAUGAGAACUCCCAGAUUAAUUUUAAACGUUUAGGUUACAGGUGCAUGUUCAAGGCUGGAGUUAACAUCAGCUUUUCCAGUGUCCUUAAUUAAACGUCUGGAGAAAACAUCUCAGUCUAGAACAACUAAACUGUGGUGUAGAGUAUUAAAACUAUUUUUUUUAAGAUAUACAUUGAUGAGCUGGCAGACCAGGGAGGUCCUCAAAAGCCAGAAACAACUGGGACCAGCCCUGGGAACAUCUGCCUAUGUUGAUGGGCUAGAGCCUGAGUUAUUUGGGGCCACUGAUGGGAAGGACGGAGGAGAUAAAACCUGACAAUUGAUCAGGUAAGAGCAGUAAAGUCACAUAAAACAGAUGCCUUAAAGGUAACGCCCUCAAAGGACCACGAGCAAAAGUCCACCCCCCCACCAGAAGGAGCUGCUGCAGGGGAAGGAGUGAGAAGUAACAGAAAGGGAUCCAAGUCUGCCCCCAGAGAUUCGAGAGCUCCUCCCAGAAGCUUGGCAGAGGCACAAGCAAACAUCUCCAGGAAUCCUUUCAGCUCAGAGCCGGAGGGAAUUGCUACAGUGGAGGGUUCCAAGACAGAUGAGUCCACAGUCCAAAACUAAAAAGCAUGCAGUAAACAAACCACUGUGAGCAAAAGAGUCAGCAUAGACUCAAAACUAGAGGGUUAAUCCCACAGACAUUUUAAUAGGUAUCAACAUUAUACAAAUAUUGCAAGUGUGUCUAGUAUGCUAAAGUGUUAAACGACUUAAAUUUAUUUAUAAAUUUAUAUUUAACGUACGCAAAGAAAUCAAGGUAUAGAAUACAUAAAGAACAAGAGACAAAAAGACAGCAUAUAUGAAGAAAAAGGAACUAGAACCUCUCAAAAAGAAAAAUAUAAUAAUUAAACUUAAAAUCUCAGAGUUCUCUGGUGAAUCUUCACUAGAUGGGCUAUAGAUUAAAAUGUCUGUGUCACAGGAUGGAAAGCCCAGAAAUAGCCCCGUGCACCCACAGUUAAAUCCUCCACAAAAAAAAGGCCAGAAUGUGCCAUGGAGAAGUCUCUUCCGUAAGUGGUGCUGGGAAAGCUGGAGCGCUCCAUGUAUAAGAACGAAGUUAGAACACCCUCUAACGCCAUGCACAAAGAUGAACUCAGAGUGGGUUAACGACCUAGACUACAAGACCAGAUACUCUAAAACUCUUAGAGGAAAACAUAGGCAGAACACCCUCUGACAUAAACCACAGCAGUAUUUUCAGAUCCACCUUCAAGAGUAAGGAAAACAAAAAUAAGCAAAUGGGACCGUUACAUACAAGAGGAGCUGUGACAGUGGGUGCGAGGCCAUAGAAUGCAUUGAUUUUAAGUCAGUGCAUUGAUUCUAAAUCCCCACCUAUAAGGACCCAGCCUAAUAGCAUGGUGGCUCGUCCUGUUCAAGGCUCAGCUACUGUGUCAGCUUCGGGACCAUAACUUGAUAACUGGGAUGCUUCUGUCCGAGUCUCGGAGUGUUGACUGAACCGAACCACAACUGAUGUGAUGCUGCGUCCCAGCAGCUAGAAGACGGGGCAUGAGAACACAGCAUGAGUGGAGACCCUCCCCAUAACCCCAGAGAUCUAGUCGCAGAAUUUCUGCUUUUCACCUAAGGUUGUAAGAACAUCACCCACUCUCCAGUUCCUACAGGUUAAACUCAAAGUGACCAUCCGCGACUCUCAAGGGCUCGGAUGUUUCACAGCGCUGACCAGCAAAGCAACAUUCCCGGGAGCACCCAGGGAAGGGCACCCAGGCUUAUUGAAGAAAUUGCGCAGCGAGUCAGCAGCCAUGGUUUAUUAGUCUCCAAGUUCUGGAUAAAUGAUCUUUAACACAUGUUGCAGGAGGAAUGUUUUUGAGGAGGGCUGUUCAGCAUGAGAAGAAAAGAGGGCGUGGAGAUGGUGAUCCUUUUCAAAUUUCGGACUUUCACUGGAAAAAUUUUGUUUAUUGCUUCCAAAAGCAAAGUCAAGGGACAUUUAGAAAAGGCCAGUUUUGACUCAACCCGAAAGGGAACUUUUAAAUCGUCUAGACCAGCGCUAUCUAGUAGAACAGAGGUGAGUCACAGACGUACUAUUACAUUUCCUAGUAGCCGCAGGAGAAAUGGAAAACAGAUGGCAUUAAUUUGUACAUAUUUUAUUCAGCCCAAUCCAAUAUGUUAUCAGUUCAAGAUGUCAUCGAUAUUGAAAAUAGGAAUGAGCUUAUUUUACCAUUCUUUUCUUGAUACAAAGUCUUUGAACGCCCAUAUGGAUUUUAUACUCAGAGCACACUCAGUCUGGACUCUCCACUGCUCACCAGCCAUGUGUGACCUGCACACAUUAGGGCAGUGGUUGGACUGUCUCGAGAUGCUGAGAGUCCCAUCAAUCAGGUGUGGUGGAACCGAGUGAAAUAACCACUCAUUAAGGACGUUUGGAAGAAUGUCCAUGCACUGUGUGUUGGGGACAGUUUCCUGGUCUCUCCUUCCCUUAGCUUAUCCCCUGUAACAACAGGAAGAACCUCACCUCACCUGGCAGCAUCCAGCCCCUCUGCCUUCAUCCACCUGAAUGAUGGCUUCUGGAAAAGAUUAACACUUGUCUGGGAGUCUCCUAGCUCCCAAUCAGUUGGAGGGACUAUUUUUUUUUUCUUUUUUAAGGGCACAUCCAUGGCAUACGGAGGUUCCCAGGGUACUGGUCUAAUCAGAGCUACAGCUGCCAGCCUACACUACAGCCAUAUCAAUGCAGGAUCCAAGCCGCGUCUACAACCUACACCACAGCUCAUGGCAAUGCCGGAUCCUUAACCCACUAAGCGAGACCAGGAAUCGAACCCACAGCCUCAAGGUUCCCAGUUGGAUUUGUUUCCGCUGUGCCACGUCAGGAACUCUGGAUUUUUCAGACAGCAUGCAUUGAAACGCAGGAAAACAAAGCAUCUACUGACUCUGCAAUUCCUGACAUGGAGUAAGUGCAGUUGCCUUUUGAACCACACGGCUUUGAACUGCAUGGUUCUACUUACACACGGAUUUUUUUCAGUAAAUACAUUGGAGCAUUCUUUUGGAGAUUUGUGACUAUUUGAAAAACCUUGUAGAUGAGUCGCAUAGCCUAGAAAUAUUGAAAAAAAUAAGAAAAGGUCAUGAAUGAAUAAAAUACACAUAUAUACUAGUUUGUCCUUAUAUACACAUAGGUAAGUGAUUUUUCUUAGCACCACUCUAACCAACGGAGCUAACCAGGCAAGUAAUAAGUGAUACUUAAUAUAAGAUUAAUGAUAUGUUGGUUUUCUUACUGUUUCAUGACUUUCCUUCCAAAGAAAUACAUCCCUGUACCAUAUGCCCCUCUGUCUCCUAAUUAGAAAAACUGCGGAUCCGUCUGUCAUCACAGUAAGUACUUUCUUUAAAAAAUGUAACAAUGUUUCCAAUACCGCAUUAUGAAUAUGACUGUAAUGCUUAUGCCAUACAAAUUUUGUGGUGCUUCGUUCACGAAGGCAUAGGUUAGGCUACUGUGAAGGGCUCAGAUUUAUGCCAGGUGACCGUAAGGCCAUCACAUUGCUGCUUAUUCCGAUCAGCGCGUGAGCUCUUAUGCCUGUACAUAAGCAGGAGUUUCUUUUUCACUGUAUCUUUUCGUUUUUGAUGUCUAGUGUUAGUCACGUGUAAAACAUCGACUGGGUUUCGUGUCAUGUUAGACAGUGUCGGCGCAGAUACUGACAGACGUAUAAUUCAUCUUGCAAACAUGAUGUAAAUUUAGGGUGUUGAUAAACACAAUACUGUAAAUGUAUUUUCUCUAACUAGGGAUUUUCUUAAUAACACGCUCUUUUCUCUAGAUUAUGGUAAAUACCUAUACGAGGGAGGGAUAAAUUGGGACCGUGGGGUUGGCACAGCACACUAACAGGGACCUGUUACACAUAUCUAGGGUUGAUAACUAACGGGGACCUACUGUGCAGCACAAGGAGGCCUAAUCAAUAUUCUGUAAUAAUGCGUGGGAAGAAGAAUAGCUCCAUGUGUAUGUAUAACUGAUUCACUUUUCGGUAAACCCAAAGCUAAUCCCAUAUUGUGAAUCAACUAUAGCCCAAUAAUUUUUAAAAAUUAAAAAACGCAUAUAUAAUAGAUAUAACAUACAAAAUACAAAUUAACCAAUUGUUCAUGUUAUCAGUAGGGCUUCCAGUUAGUACUUAACUUGGGAAAAUCAAAAGUCAUACAUGGAUUUUCAACUGCACUGGGCGGCCGGCACCCCCAACCUCCAAGUUGUUCAAGGGUCAGCUAUGCCUCCUUUUUAGCCAAUGCGAUGCCUGGUAUCCCCUCCCCUGAGAACCACUGCCAUGGGAGGAAGACGGAGGCUUGCCUUUUGGAUGGAGUUAAAAACUGGGUAAUCUGAUCAUAUUUUUUAAGCUUAAGCAAACUAAUAACACUCUGAUUUUGUUGCCUCUGUGGGAAAAGGAAGAUUUCAGAAAGCAGUGGGAGAGGCAAUGUAAUUUUAUCUAAAUACGUAAAGACAAAAGCUAAAACCAGGGUGAACACUUUCUUGAUUUAAGCCAUCGAUGAUGUUCUCCUGGGUCCAUUGCGAUGGGGUGGGCAGAGGGGACCAAUUCUUUCAACAGCUUUUCAAGAAAUGAGUGAACUUCAUUGAUCAUGGGUAUGCAACCAUCUGACCAAAGCGUGUGCAUCAGGGUAGGCAUCACGAGUUUUCUCCUGGGUGGAGCUGUAGGAAAAGGUUUCUUCCAAGAGGAACCAGGCCAUUUUCCACUUGUGAGUCACAUGAUGGGAGGAAUUGCCAGUUCUGACUUAAUGAUAUUCUGCCCGCACGUAGAUUCUAAGAAGAACCACUCAAGACUGCCAGCAAACAUCCACCCAUACCAAUCCAUCUGGUACCCCGUGUCAGUUAAAUAACAUGAUUUAAAAACUGGAGCAGGCUGUGUGUGAGGCUGGGUGGUGAGUGAUUUCGAAGGAAAUGAUCUAAGAAACCACAAACCCCUCUGGCAGCUUUAAUCCUACUGGAUGCCUUCCCUUAAAAUCUAGGUUUCUAACAAACUGCUGCACAGGACUCUGCGCCCACACCCCCCAAAGAAACACAAAGAACGUGGAUUAAAAAUAUGGAAGUGUGUCCUCAGCUGCUUUAGUCUUACCCGAGACACUUUAAUAUGGACUGAUUUCCAAAGAUUAGAAAGCUUUUGUUCUCAAUACUGUCUUAAUAUGAUCGUUGUCUUAGCUCAAUAUUUGUUUGGAUGCUGCACCUGACAUCUUUGCUAUGCCCGGAGCUGUUGUUGUUGAUUCGGAACCCUGGACAAGGAAGUGUUUCUUCCCUUCCACCCACACCCUCCUCAGGGCAGUCAGGGCCUCCGACCAGGAAAAGCAAACCCUCGGGUGACUCUGAAUCGUCUGGAGCAAAUGGUUGAUCCAGAGCCAGACACUCUGUUUGAUUCUUUCCCCUCACUGUCACUUGGUUUUCUAACUGUUUGAAAAAUGUUAUUGCAAUUCACUUGGUGGUCAGAGCCAUCCCUGUGGCUCCAGGCUUUGGAUAUCAGGUCACUUUCACUCCUGGCAAACAAACAAACAAACAAACAAACAAAAAAAAACAGUCUCAGCAUAGUAGGCUUUUCUAAAGGCUGGAGGAAAUGUUGUUAGAUACCCAACGUUCCAAAGAAUGCUUCUCCACUUAGUGACUGGGGGUCGUGGCAGCAGGAUUGUUCCCAGUGUGGAGGGAGCCUCCAGUCCUGCAGGGUCAUGGCUGCUUCUGCGAAGAGCUGGCUUUUGGCCAUGGGGACAUCAGGUCUCUCCACUUUCCAGCACAACCACAUCAGCCCUGAAAACCAAUGUUCUGCUUCCUUGUUUAUAAAGUGGUACAGAAAGAUCACAGUAUCUCCCAGUCCUUGAAACAUGCUUCUAACAGCCAUGGCUAGUGUUCACUCUGACUUCCAAAGUUUUAGGAACAAAAGUCUUCAAUGUUUUAGAAAAUCAGCCUCUAAACCUGAUAAGCCCUCAGCAUACCUUCCUAUUCAUCACCCCCCAGAAUCCUGAUUGCCCACCAAGUUUCAGAUGUCUGAAAAGAGACAUGCAUAUUUGGUUAUACACUUCUCUCAGUGAAUUCAUUCUUUGGUGUUUCAAAUCUAGCUUAAAGUGGUAGGAGACAUGUUUAGAAAAAGAAACCCAUUGUUUCAACAUUUUAAAAAGAAGGAUCAUUUUUUUGCUUAAGGUGCUACCCCACUGAUCUAGUUAACCUGUCUUAAAGCCAGCCAGCCAUGACUGUGGGGUCUCACAGCAAUGCACAGAGCACCUCUGCUGCCAGGGCCUUUCCAGCCAAGAAAUCAUGCCCUCUUGGGCAGCUGUCCUCCACAGUGAUGCUGUUGCUGCUGUGGCCCCAGCCUUAGUGGGGACCCUGCUCUACUCCAUCUCCAUCUUCCCUAAUCCUUAUAGCAUGGCAGAGACCCAUCUACACAUUGUAAUGCAACUUGCUAAGAGCUCAAGGAUAUGGUAGGAAAAUGUACUGAAGUCAGUGACUUUUCCUGGUGUCAAACAACUGUGGAGGCUGCAAAGAACAGAGAGCUUGAUAUGGGGGCGGGUCUUAAAAAUUGUAAUCCAGGAGACACGGAAUUGGAUAAAUCCCAAAGCAUGUUCUAGGCUGAGAAAGGGUCAGGGGUUUCCAAAGACAAAACGCACGAGGUUGUUAAAGUUGCCUGGAGAGAACUGUGAUUGACAAUGACACAAGCUAGAAAUACUUGUCCUUCAGGAAUCACAAGCUAUUUAUUUUAGGGCAGGGUCUAAUAAGUAGAUAGACUAUCACAAGUUACUUUAGGGUAAGGGUGCGACGAGGGAGUAUCUCAGGCAGGGAAGUGAGUGGCCAAAAGGUCACACUGGUGAAAAUGGAGGCUGAGAGGAGA